rnacentral:rRNA from 1 species
AGUGAACGCUGGCGGUAGGCCUAACACAUGCAAGUCGAACGGCAGCACAGUAAGAGCUUGCUCUUACGGGUGGCGAGUGGCGGACGGGUGAGGAAUACAUCGGAAUCUACUUUUUCGUGGGGGAUAACGUAGGGAAACUUACGCUAAUACCGCAUACGACCUACGGGUGAAAGCAGGGGAUCUUCGGACCUUGCGCGAUUGAAUGAGCCGAUGUCGGAUUAGCUAGUUGGCGGGGUAAAGGCCCACCAAGGCGACGAUCCGUAGCUGGUCUGAGAGGAUGAUCAGCCACACUGGAACUGAGACACGGUCCAGACUCCUACGGGAGGCAGCAGUGGGGAAUAUUGGACAAUGGGCGUAAGCCUGAUCCAGCCAUACCGCGUGGGUGAAGAAGGCCUUCGGGUUGUAAAGCCCCUUUGUUGGGAAAGAAAAGCAGCAGGUUAAUACCCCGCUGUUCUGACGGUACCCAAAGAAUAAGCACCGGCUAACUUCGUG